rnacentral:rRNA from 1 species
UACGUAGGGCGCAAGCGUUGUCCGGAAUUAUUGGGCGUAAAGAGCUCGUAGGCGGCUUGUCGCGUCUGUUGUGAAAGCCCGGGGCUUAACCCCGGGUCUGCAGUGGAUACGGGCAGGCUAGAGUUCGGUAGGGGAGACUGGAAUUCCUGGUGUAGCGGUGAAAUGCGCAGAUAUCAGGAGGAACACCGGUGGCGAAGGCGGGUCUCUGGGCCGAUACUGACGCUGAGGAGCGAAAGCGUGGGGAGCGAACAGG